AUUGAACGCUGGCGGCAGGCCUAACACAUGCAAGUCGAGCGGAGCGGCGGACGGGGGCGUAAUAGUUAGGAAUCUGCCUGGUCGCGGGGGAUAACGAUCGGAAAUGGACGCUAAUACCGCUUCCUCUCAGAUGAGCAUAGGCCGGAUUAGCUAGUUGGUGGGGUAAUGGUUCACCUAGGCCACGAUCCGUAACUGGUCUGAGAGGAUGAUCAGUCACACUGGAACUGAGACACGGUCCAGACUCCUACGGGAGGCAGCAGUGGGGAAUAUUGGACAAUGGGCGAAAGCCUGAUGCAGCCAUGCCGCGUGUGUGAAGAAGGUCUUCGGAUUGUAAAGCACUUUAAGUGGGGAGGCGUUACCGACAGAAUAAGCACCGGCUAACUCUGUGCCAGCAGCCGCGGUAAUUC
rnacentral:rRNA from 1 species